rnacentral:rRNA from 1 species
AAUGUGCAAAACUAUAAAAGUAACAACUUUCAACAACGGAUCUCUUGGCUCUCGCAUCGAUGAAGAACGCAGCGAAAUGCGAUAAGUAAUGUGAAUUGCAGAAUUCAGUGAAUCAUCGAAUCUUUGAACGCACCUUGCGCUCCUUGGUAUUCCAUGGAGCAUGCCUGUUUGAGUGUCACGUAAACCAUCACCCUUGCGAUGUCACAAUUGCUUGCGGUGGACUUGGACCGUGCCGUAGUCGGCUCGUCCUGAAAUGCAUUAGCUGGUGCUUUUAGAGUGCUGGGCGACGGUGUGAUAAUUAUCUGCGCCACUGCCCUGGGCCUCUUCAGCCGCGCCGCUUACAGUCGUCUGCACGGACAACUUAUUUAAAGCUUUGGCCUCAAAUCAGGUAGGACUACCCGCUGAACUUAAGCAUAUCAAUAAGCGGAGGAAAAGAAACUAACAAGGAUUCCCCUAGUAACGGCGAGUGAAGAGGGAAGAGCUCAAA